rnacentral:tRNA from 2 species
UAGCAAAAUCCGGUCUUGCUAGAGACCUAAACUCUCUCCAUAAAAGUUCAAAUCUU